rnacentral:rRNA from 1 species
GUAGGUGGCAAGCGUUGUCCGGGAAUUAUUGGGGCGUAAAGCGCGCGCAGGCGGUUCUUUAAGUCUGAUGUGAAAGCCCACGGGCUCAACCGUGGAGGGUCAUUGGAAACUGGAGAACUUGAGUGCAGAAGAGGAAAGCGGAAUUCCACGCGUAGCGGUGAAAUGCGUAGAGAUGUGGAGGAACACCAGUGGCGAAGGCGGCUUUCUGGUCUGUAACUGACGCUGAGGCGCGAAAGCGUGGGGAGCAAACAGGAUUAGAUACCCUGGUAGUCCACGCCGUAAACGAUGAGUGCUAAGUGUUAGGGGGUUUCCGCCCCUUAGUGCUGCAGCUAACGCAUUAAGCACUCCGCCUGGGGAGUACGGCCGCAAAGGCUG